CCGUUGAAUAUGAGCCAGCAGUGUGCCCAGGUGGCCAAGAAGGCCAGUUGCAUCCUGGCUUAUAUCAGAACGUGUGAUGAGAAGGACUAGAGAGGUUAUCCUGCCUCUGUACUUAGCAUUGGUGAGGCCCCACCUCGAGUACUGUGUUCAGUAUUGGGCACCUCAGUACUGAAAGGGCUUUGAGGUGCUGGAGCAGAUCCAGUGAAGAGCAAAAAGGCUGGUGAGGGGCUUGGAGAAUAUCCCCCGUGAGGAGCAACUGGAGGAACUGGGGCUGUUUAGUCUGGGGAAAAGGUGGGUGAGGGGAGAUCUUAUUGCUCUCUUCAAAUACCUGAAAUGUGAUUGCAGUGAGAGUGGGGUUGGUCUCUUCUCACUGGUGAUAGGUGACAGGACAAGGGGAAAUGGCUUCAAGUUGUGCUAGGGAAGCUUUAGUUUGAAUAUCAGAAAAAUCAUUUUUACAGAAAGGGCUGUUAAGGACUGGAACAGGCUCUCCAGGGAAGUGGUUGAGUCACCAUCUCUGAAUGUGCUUAAAAACUAUUUUGACGGUUUGGAUGGGACAUGAUUUAGCAGUGGGUUUCAGAGUUAGGGCAGUAUGGUUAGGUUGUGGUUUGACUUGAUGAUCUUCAACAUCUUUUCCAACCUGAGCAAUUCUAUGAUUCUAUGAUUUGAUGAGUGCCUGGACUUCUUUUUGCAGCUGCAGAAGGGACUGCAUCUUUAAGGACACUCCAGAAGUCCAGAACCAAAAAGAUCCCUUACAAUACUGAGGCCAAGAUGGUGCAAGGCAGAGAUGACAUUUCAGCACAAGAGAUCAGCAAGCAGGAGAGAUAUGAGCCAGCAGUGCAGGUAUUGUAAUGUUUGCCCUUUUUGCCCUGCCAUCAUUGAAAGAUAGUAAUCAACCUGAUUUUUGUCAGUUCAUGGAAUAAUGGGGAAAAAAGGAACCGUUUCAUAGAAAAUAAUGGUGAGAAGUCCUUGGCCUCUGCUGUGGAUGUAAAAUCUCUCCCUCUUGGAACUGAUGAAACACAGAAGUACGGUGGGAUUAGAAAAGUGACUUGCACAGUGAGCAAGGUGAGUACUGUUAUGCAUCCUUCUUCAGUGUGGUAUGCAAUUUUGAGUGUGUCCAUGCCCCUUUUA
rnacentral:lncRNA from 1 species